AUGCAAGUCGAACGAACCUUCGGGUUAGUGGCGGACGGGUGAGUAACGCGUGAGAAUCUGCCCUCAGGAGGGGGAUAACGGUUGGAAACGACCGCUAAUACCCCAUAUGCCGCGAGGUGAAAUGAAUUUCGCCUGAGGAUGAGCUCGCGUCUGAUUAGCUAGUUGGUGUAGGUAAUGGCUCACCAAGGCAUCGAUCAGUAGCUGGUCUGAGAGGAUGAUCAGCCACACUGGGACUGAGACACGGCCCAGACUCCUACGGGAGGCAGCAGUGGGGAAUUUUCCGCAAUGGGCGAAAGCCUGACGGAGCAACGCCGCGUGAGGGAUGAAGGCCUCUGGGCUGUAAACCUCUUUUAUCAAGGAAGAAGAUCUGACGGUACUUGAUGAAUAAGCCACGGCUAAUUCCGUGCCAGCAGCCGCGGUAAUACGGGAGUGGCAAGCGUUAUCCGGAAUUAUUGGGCGUAAAGCGUCCGCAGGCGGCCCUUCAAGUCUGCUGUUAAAGCGUGGAGCUUAACUCCAUCAUGGCAGUGGAAACUGUUGGGCUUGAGUGUGGUAGGGGCAGAGGGAAUUCCCGGUGUAGCGGUGAAAUGCGUAGAUAUCGGGAAGAACACCAGUGGCGAAGGCGCUCUGCUGGGCCAUCACUGACGCUCAUGGACGAAAGCCAGGGGAGCGAAAGGGAUUAGAUACCCCUGUAGUCCUGGCCGUAAACGAUGAACACUAGGUGUCGGGGGAAUCGACCCCCUCGGUGUCGUAGCCAACGCGUUAAGUGUUCCGCCUGGGGAGUACGCACGCAAGUGUGAAACUCAAAGGAAUUGACGGGGGCCCGCACAAGCGGUGGAGUAUGUGGUUUAAUUCGAUGCAACGCGAAGAACCUUACCAGGGUUUGACAUCCUGCGAAUCUCUUGGAAACGAGAGAGUGCCUUCGGGAACGCAGUGACAGGUGGUGCAUGGCUGUCGUCAGCUCGUGUCGUGAGAUGUUGGGUUAAGUCCCGCAACGAGCGCAACCCACGUCUUUAGUUGCCAGCAUUCAGUUGGGCACUCUAGAGAGACCGCCGGUGAUAAACCGGAGGAAGGUGUGGAUGACGUCAAGUCAUCAUGCCCCUUACAUCCUGGGCUACACACGUACUACAAUGCUACGGACAAAGGGCAGCAAGUUCGCGAGGACAAGCAAAUCCCAUAAACCGUGGCUCAGUUCAGAUCGUAGGCUGCAACUCGCCUACGUGAAGGAGGAAUCGCUAGUAAUCGCAGGUCAGCAUACUGCGGUGAAUACGUUCCCGGGCCUUGUACACACCGCCCGUCACACCAUGGAAGUUGGCCACGCCCGAAGCCGUUACUCCAACCCUUGUGGAGGAGGAC
rnacentral:rRNA from 1 species